AGCGAACGCUGGCGGCAGGCUUAACACAUGCAAGUCGAGCGGGCCCUUCGGGGUCAGCGGCAGACGGGUGAGUAACACGUGGGAACGUGCCCUUCGGUUCGGAAUAACUCAGGGAAACUUGAGCUAAUACCGGAUACGCCCUUUUGGGGAAAGGUUUACUGCCGAAGGAUCGGCCCGCGUCUGAUUAGCUAGUUGGUGGGGUAAUGGCCUACCAAGGCGACGAUCAGUAGCUGGUCUGAGAGGANGAUCAGCCACACUGGGACUGAGACACGGCCCAGACUCCUACGGGAGGCAGCAGUGGGGAAUAUUGGACAAUGGGCGCAAGCCUGAUCCAGCCAUGCCGCGUGAGUGAUGAAGGCCUUAGGGUUGUAAAGCUCUUUCGACGGGGACGAUAAUGACGGUACCCGUAGAAGAAGCCCCGGCUAACUUCGUGCCAGCCGCCGCAGU
rnacentral:rRNA from 1 species